rnacentral:rRNA from 1 species
ACCUACGGGACGCAGCAGUGAGGAAUAUUGGUCAAUGGGAGAGAUCCUGAACCAGCCAAGCCGCGUGAGGGAAGAAGGUUUUCGGAUUGUAAAGCUCUGUUAGCAGGGAAGAGGAAGGACGGUACCUGCAGAGGAAGCCACGGCUAACUACGUGCCAGCAGCCGCGGUAAUACGUAGGUGGCAAGCGUUGUUCGGAAUAACUGGGCGUAAAGGAUGCGUAGGCGGUUAAACAAGUUAUAUGUUAAAUAUAUAGGCUUAACCUGUAGAAAGCAUAUAAAA